rnacentral:rRNA from 1 species
GACGAACGCUGGCGGCGUGCUUAACACAUGCAAGUCGAACGGAAAGGCCCUGCUUUUGUGGGGUGCUCGAGUGGCGAACGGGUGAGUAACACGUGAGUAACCUGCCCUUGACUUUGGGAUAACUUCAGGAAACUGGGGCUAAUACCGGAUAGGAGCUCCUGCUGCAUGGUGGGGGUUGGAAAGUUUCGGCGGUUGGGGAUGGACUCGCGGCUUAUCAGCUUGUUGGUGGGGUAGUGGCUUACCAAGGCUUUGACGGGUAGCCGGCCUGAGAGGGUGACCGGCCACAUUGGGACUGAGAUACGGCCCAGACUCCUGCGGGAGGCAGCAGUGGGGAAUAUUGCACAAUGGGCGGAAGCCUGAUGCAGCAACGCCGCGUGCGGGAUGACGGCCUUCGGGUUGUAAACCGCUUUCGCCUGUGACGAAGCGUGAGUGACGGUAAUGGGUAAAGAAGCACCGGCUAACUAC